GACGAACGCUGGCGGCGUGCUUAACACAUGCAAGUCGAGCGGUAAGGCCCUUUCGGGGGUACACGAGCGGCGAACGGGUGAGUAACACGUGGGUGACCUGCCCUCAGCUCUGGGAUAAGCCUGGGAAACCGGGUCUAAUACUGGAUAUGACUUCAUGACGCAUGUUGUGGGGUGGAAAGCCUUGUGCGGCUGAGGAUGGGCCCGCGGCCUAUCAGCUUGUUGGCGGGGAACGGCCCACCAAGGCAACGAUCCGUAGCUGGUCUGAGAGGAUGAUCAGCCACACUGGGACUGAGAUGCGGCCCAGACUCCUACGGGAGGCAGCAGUGGGGAAUAUUGGACAAUGGGGGAAACCCUGAUCCAGCAAUGCCGCGUGAGUGAAGAAGGCCU
rnacentral:rRNA from 1 species